rnacentral:sRNA from 1 species
GUCGUGAGAUGUUGGGUUAAGUCCCGCAACGAGCGCAACCCUUGUCCGAUGUUGCCAGCGCGUUAUGGCGGGGACUCAUCGGAGACUGCCGGGGUCAACUCGGAGGAAGGUGGGGAUGACGUCAAGUCAUCAUGCCCCUUAUGUCCAGGGCUUCACGCAUGCUACAAUGGCCGGUACAAAGGGCUGCGAUACCGUAAGGUGGAGCGAAUCCCAAAAAGCCGGUCUCAGUUCGGAUCGGGGUCUGCAACUCGACCCCGUGAAGUCGGAGUCGCUAGUAAUCGCAGAUCAGCAACGCUGCGGUGAAUACGUUCCCGGGCCUUGUACACACCGCCCGUCACGUCACGAAAGUCGGCAACACCCGAAGCCGGUGGCCCAACCCUUGUGGAGGGAGCCGUCGAAGGUGGGGCUGGCGAUUGGGACGAAGUCGUAACAAGGUAGCCGUACCGGAAGGUGCGGCUGGAUCACCUCCUUUCUAAGGAGCACCUUCCGACGAAAGUCGGUAAGGAGCCCGCGUCCCGCGAAUGUCGGGGUGGGGUGCUCGAUGGCGGAGACACUGGUGAGUCGGCGGUCGGCAACGGCUGAGCUUCUGCUAGUACAGCUACCUUUCGGGGUGGUGGGAACGUGGGGUUUGGUGCGGCUGGUUGGUUCGGCGUCAAAUGACAAGACAUCCUGUUGGGUCCUGAGGGAACAACUGUGGACACGUGAGUGUUCGGGGGUUGUUUUUUCUGGAACGGCAUUGACGAUUUCUCGUCGGAUCGCAUAACUGCGUCGUUGGGCGUGCAUGUUGUGGUCGUGGUGGCGGGGGGUUGUGUGUUUGUUGAGAAUUGCACAGUGGAUGCGAGCAUCUUUGUGGUCAAGUUGCUGAGGGCACAUGGUGGAUGCCUUGGCACCAGGAGCCGAUGAAGGACGUGGGAGGCCGCGAUAGGCCUGGGGGAGCUGUCAACCGAGCUGUGAUCCCAGGGUGU